GACGAACGCUGGCGGCGUGCUUAACACAUGCAAGUCGAGCGGUAAGGCCCUUUCGGGGGUACACGAGCGGCGAACGGGUGAGUAACACGUGGGUGACCUGCCCUCAGCUCUGGGAUAAGCCUGGGAAACCGGGUCUAAUACUGGAUAUGACUCCAUGACGCAUGUUGUGGGGUGGAAAGCCUUGUGCGGCUGAGGAUGGGCCCGCGGCCUAUCAGCUUGUUGGUGGGGNGAUGGCCUACCAAGGCGACGACGGGUAGCCGGCCUGAGAGGGCGACCGGCCACACUGGGACUGAGACACGGCCCAGACUCCUACGGGAGGCAGCAGUGGGGAAUCUUGCGCAAUGGGCGAAAGCCUGACGCAGCGACGCCGCGUGAGGGAUGACGG
rnacentral:rRNA from 1 species